rnacentral:rRNA from 1 species
AUUGAACGCUAGCGGGAUGCCUUACACAUGCAAGUCGAACGGCAGCACGGACUUCCGUCUGGUGGCGAGUGGCUAACGGGUGAGUAAUGUAUCGGAACGUGCCUAGUAGCGGGGGAUAACUACGCGAAAGCGUAGCUAAUACCGCAUACGCCCUACGGGGGAAAGCAGGGGAUCGCAAGACCUUGCACU